CGAGUCUCUGGACGACUCUUGACACUGAGGCACGAAAGCCAGGGAGCAAACAGGAUUAGAUACCCUGGUAGUCCUGGCUGUAAACGGUGCACGUUUGCUGUGAAAGGAAUCGACCCCUUUCGUGGCGAAGCUAACGCGUUAAACGUGCCGCCUGGGGAGUACGGUCGCAAGAUUAAAACUCAAAGAAAUUGACGGGGGCCUGCACAAGCGGUGGAGUAUGUGGCUUAAUUCGAUGCAACGCGAAGAACCUUACCUGGCCUUGACAUGCACGUGGUAGAAGCGUGAAAGCGUAACGACCCCGCAAGGGGAGCGUGCACAGGUGCUGCAUGGCUGUCGUCAGCUCGUGUCGUGAGAUGUUGGGUUAAGUCCCGCAACGAGCGCAACCCUUGUGUCCUGUUGCCACUCGGUCGAGAGACCGGAGCACUCUGGACAGACUGCCUCGCUUAAACGAGGAGGAAGGUGGGGAUGACGUCAAGUCAGGAUGGCCCUUACGGCCAGGGCUGCACACGUACUACAAUGCCCGGCACAAAGGGACGCAAUACCGUAAGGUGGAGCAAAUCCCAUAAAACCGGGCUCAGUUCAGAUUGUCGGCUGCAACUCGCCGACAUGAAGCUGGAAUCGCUAGUAAUGGCGCAUCAGCUACGGCGCCGUGAAUACGUUCCCAGGCCUUGUACACACCGCCCGUCACAUCAUGAAAGCCGGUUGUACCCGAAGUCACCGCGUUAACCGCAAGGAGACAGGUGCCGAAGGUA
rnacentral:rRNA from 1 species